UACGUAGGGUGCAAGCGUUGUCCGGAAUUAUUGGGCGUAAAGAGCUCGUAGGCGGUCUGUCGCGUCGGAUGUGAAAACCCAGGGCUCAACCCUGGGCCUGCAUUCGAUACGGGCAGAAUAGAGUGUGGCAGGGGAGACUGGAAUUCCUGGUGUAGCGGUGAAAUGCGCAGAUAUCAGGAGGAACACCGGUGGCGAAGGCGGGUCUCUGGGCCGAUACUGACGCUGAGGAGCGAAAGCGUGGGGAGCAAACAGG
rnacentral:rRNA from 1 species